GGCCGGUUGGAUUAGUUGGUCAUAUCGUUUCGUUAACACCGAAAAGGUCGCCAGUUCGAACCUGGCACUGGUCA